UUGAAAAUUUCUUGGAAUUUCCUACAUAAAAGAUCAUCUUGUCUGAGUGUAAAGACAAUUUUACUCCUUCCUUUCCAAUAUGGUUGCAUGUAAUUCCUUUUCUCCCCAUAUUGGACUGGCCAGAAUCUCCAGCAAGAUACUGAAUGCAGGCGGUGAAAGCCGACAUCCUGGCCUUGUUCUUGGUCUUGGGGGGAAAGCAUUCAACCCUUUAUAAUUAAGAAUUAUGCUAGCUGUCAGCCUUGGUAGGUUCCCUGAUUGGAUUGAUAAGGCUCCCCUAUAUUCCAAGUGUUUUGAGAGUUUGUAUCAUUGUUCGUCAAACAAUUUUUCAGCAUCUAUUGAGAUGAUCAAGUGAUUUUUUAUAUUCUCUUAAUAUAGUUUGUUACAUUCAUCAAUUUUCAGGUGUUCAACUCUUCUUGUAUUCCUGAAAUAAACCUCACGGGUCAUAGUGGUCAUACUGGAUAGUCCUCUUUAUAUGUUGCUGAAUUAGGUUUUACUAUUUUGUUAAGGAAUUUUGCAUCUAUGUUCAUUUUCAUCUAGUUCAAGUUAUUUCCAGUUUCCCCUGUAAUUUCUUUUUCUUUGGCCUAUAGGAUAAUAUACUAAUUUAUCUUGUCUUAAAAUCUAUUUUGUUUGAUAUUACUAUAGCAUCUCCAGCUGUCUUAUGGCCACUGUUCUCACAAUAUACAAUUUUUAAUCCUUUUACUUUCAACCUAUUUGCACCUUUAAAUGUAACUUGAAUCUCUCAUAGACAGUAUUUGAAUUGGGUCUUACUUGUCUUUCUGACAAUCUCGGUCUUUUAGUUGGUGCAUUUAACCCAUUGAUGUGGUUGUACUUUUGUCUACCAUUUUGCUGUUGUUUUUUUCUGUACGUCUCAUCUGGUUUUGGGUCCUCUGAGCCUCCUUUACUACCUUCUUUUAUGUUAAGCAAAUAGGUUUACUGAACCUUUUUAAUUUCUUAAAUUUUUCAUUGUUGUUGCUAUUGAGCUCCAGGUAUCCCAGCCAUGUCUAGUCCAUUACUUGGCCGCUUCUGGCAUCCAUUGGGUUAAAUUGAGAUGCUUUUCAAAGUUUUCUCUCCUACAGGAUUUUCUCUCGCCUUUUCCCUCUUGUACAUCUACAAAGUUUGACCAUGUCUGUUGCCACGGGGCCAAGCUGAGAGAGGCUGUCAGCUCACAAGAUGGCCUGAGCACCAGGGGUAACAGAGCACAUGUCAUCUCUGUGGGGCUCUUUUUCAGAGUCUUAAACGACCUCGCACCUUUCUUGGCUCCAGCGGUACCAGGGAAUAGUCCUGUUUUUUAGGGGUCCAGGUGGCUCCUCACAGCCCCCUUGCAUGGAUGAACCCCAGUGGAUGCAGCAGCUUCUCGAGCUGAAAGCUGCUUCUGAGAAUGGGGAAUCUCAACUUGCUUUGCUGCCUCUGGGUGGCUGGGAUCCUGGCUCGUUUUCCAGCUCUCUGUGGUGCCCUCCGAUGACACACUGGGACAGAUUUCUUGCUCUGCCGGAUUUGGCUUCAUUGGAGUCUGUGCUCUCCCAUCCAGUUACGCCUCUUCUCACCUCCAUGCUGUCCUCAGCUCGCCUGGACAUUGCUGGGUAUGUUUGUAGAGUCUGCCACUCAGGGACCUCCAGACAUAGGUGAGAAUCAGUUCUUUAUUUCCAAAUCCAUGUCCAUCCUCCUGAGCUAUUUGUGUGUCUGUGUGUGCAUUAUUUGUGUGUUUGUGCAUCACACAAAGUAAUGAGAUGUUUAGAAGCAACGGCAAAAAGGAACAAACUGUCUUGCUCAUUUUAUUCCCUCCUAACUCUCUUCUUCCCCCAUCCACUCUGUUUUUAUGUAUAAUCUUCUAGUGGGGUUGGGAGGUGUGGAGGGAAAGCACAUUGCAAAUUCUUGUCAAUUUUCUCUAGGAGGGUCUCAUGCUUGUGUCGGUGCCACAAGCUGAAGGCCACCAAGAGGAUAUCCAAAGGUUAACAAGCUGGAUUUAUUACUCGUUUUGGCAAGAAAGAACACACACGGUGAAGAACAACGAGGAGUCUCAGUAGGAGAAGGAGGAAUUUGGGGAAGAGCGAGGCGAAGGAGUAGUGUCUUGUAUCCGUCAGCAUUGUCGAUCCAAGGCUUUCUUGUGAAUUCGUUUUUACCACAUUUGAAGUGUGAUGCCCAGAAUGGAACUCGGAGCUGCUGGCACCCGCAUCCAUCUUUGGAGGCUCUGGACAUAAUCAAUGGAACAGGCAGAAGGCCUGCAGCCCCAAGCCUGCUCGUCGCCGUCUCCCCUUCACAAGUUGAAUGCACUCAUGGACCACGGAGUGAAUCCAGCGUAUCACCCUAGUCUACACUUUGGGUAACAUUUUUAUCUUUUUUUGUUUGUUUGUUUUUGACAUUCCACACUAAACAACAUUGUCUAUUGUUUUACCCUUGGCUGAAGAAAAAGGCUUGAUACAAAAUGCCUUUCCUUUCCCUUUGGUCUCUCCCCACACCACAUUUCUCUACUUGCCUUCCCAUAGAAAUGAGGACUUUUACUGAUUUCGUAUAUGCACCUGCACGGCGCUAAGAAAGGAAAGGUCCACUCUAUUGUAGGGAUUGGCACAAAAAUCAACCCCAAACUAAACUUGGUCUUAUGUAGGAAGUGAAAUAGCCAAGAAUCCUCUAAAAUUAAGGCAAUUCCAGACUAUAAGGAUGAACACAGAAGCAAAUGCUGUCAAAAAAUGCAGGGUUUCUUACCUGAGUCAUUAAUGACCCACUAGCCUAGCAUGGCAGACAGGUAUUGAUUGCAACCUUCCACACAGUUUUGAUUCCUAGCCUGUCUCACCAUGACUCAGUUUUCCUAUCUAUGACAUAAACAUAAAAAGACAGAAAUUAUCUCAAAGUUUCUGCAAAGAUUAGUGUGAGCAAUGACAAACACUCAAUCUCUGGAAAAUGCCUUAAAUUCAGAAAAUUCAUGAACAGACGUUACCUCUAAGAGAAUGAGUAUCAGAGCUAAAGAGAACCUUCCUUUUCCGUGCAGCCAUUCUCUUCAAAAUAAGGAGCCUGAUGUUUCACAAAACCAUCUGUUGCCCUCUUCUGUUAUUACAGCUGAAUGCUUUAGAAAUCAUUCUGCACCACUAAAAAUAAAAUCCACGUAGAACCUAAAAGAACCAAUGCCAAGUAACUGAAGCCAAAUUCAGGUUGUAUUUUUAAAAGUGUCUAUGAAAUCAUCUAUAAAUAGAAAGGCUUUCCUGUUAUUUUUAAUUACUUCAUUUUAAUGGAAACACUCCAGCUGGUGAGGAUGUGGUUAGGAUGGCAUGGCACAGGGCCUGCCCUUCCGGACAGGAGGCUGACUCCAGCCAAACGAAGCCAGGGGGUGGUGGUAUUGCACUCAGCAUCUUUAGUGCUUACUCUUGGUUACUGAUCCCAAAGCCUCCUUAGAAACCUCCUGGGGUGUCUCAAACCAUUUCAAACAUGUGCAUAUUUCUGUAAGUCAAAUGACAAGUUGAUUUUCUUAUAUUUAAGGUAAAUGUGGACCACAGAGAGUUUCUCUGUGAGCUGGAAGAGGAAACAUUCCUGAGUCAAACGCUAGGCCAGUGCCACAGCUCCAGGGUCUGCUGGCAGAGGGGUGUGUCUCAGACAGGCAUCUCUGACAUGCAGGGUGCUGGUCCAGUCCCCCAGAGCCAGGGAGCCUCCCACCCCAUGCCACCUCACAGGGGAGGAAGAGGGCUCGUUACUGCCUCACACUGGCUGAGGGAGGACAGGAAACAAAGAGACAGCCUGGGGGACUCUGGUAGUGGCCCCCAUCCCCAGACCUGGAUGGAAAGCUGAGAGUCUGGGCAAGUCCUAGCUGGUGGCUCUGGUCUGCUUGUGUGACACCAUGUGCCACCACAAGCCACAGGAAAUAAGCAGCACAUCAGAUGGGCAGAGUGAGGCCCGAAGAAAUCUAUUCUGCUUCUUGUGGCCAAAGCCGAGCCUUCAUGCUCCCGGCCUCAAACAGCUCCAUCUCCUGCUGCAAAAGUGUGCCCCAGAGCUACAGCCUGACUGGCCAGGCGGAUAUUAGAGUUCCUUGUCUCAGAUUUCCUGUCUGGGUCACUAACUUGAAGGCCAUGUCAGACCAGGUAAUACUCAUCCGGCAGUAUGAGGGUGUCACUCUGCCAGUUCUCUCCUGUGUGGCUUUGGGUGUGUUCCUUAGGCCCUUUGUGCUCCUCCAUUUCCUCAGCUGUAAGAGGGGGGUGAUCACUGCAUCUGUUCAUAGAGCAGUUGUCAGGAUUGAGUAAGUUAAGUCAGUAAGGAGCCUGGGGUCAUUCCUGGCACAUAGUAAGCCCUAUAGAAGUUUUUGGCAAUUAGAUCAUUACAUGUACAAGUUAACGUAAUUGUGAACAUCACGAAUCCAUAGGAUAGACUGAUUGUGUAUUAACAGGAAUUUGUUCUAAUCGAUUAUGUCCUGUCUCUGACAACAGCAGUGAAAUGUGAAAUGUGAAAGUGUAGGUGUGUGUACUCCUGCUCAUGAAGGACAAGUUAGAUAACUUGCAAGUUUUAUGAUGCACUUUAUUUGUUCCCAGGAUGAUGAUUUUGUCAUGUUCCUCUUUCUGUCUCAAGGGAAGCAGGUAACAGGGCCAUCCAUUUGUACGUGUAAAAUAAAACUAUUAAAGCAAAACAUGAUAACAAACCACAAGUGCUUCUAUCCUCAUGCUUUCCACGAUGCAUGUCAAUGAGUGCUCACCGGGGCCCUCUCCUGGCCUUCCCGCUCCCAGCCCUCUUCCGGCUUUCCCACUGAGUGAGAGCUCAUUUGACGGGCAAGACAGCAUCUCCAGACCCUCUCCUGCCACUUGAAGGAGGCCUCUCAAUCUCUCUGGCCACCAGCACCCCGACUCAAAAUGAGGAUUUUAACAAGAUGAACCCUAUAUUCUCACCUUGACUUCUAAAUUGUAUAUUGCAGAGAGAGUGCUGGAAAAAAAGAGAAAUGAAAUGAUGUGAAAAAAAUGAAAGAAAAGAGAAAGGAUUUGCUAACCCAUGACAUUUAUGUCUAGAGGACUCACAAAUGAAAUUUUGAGAAAAAGAUAUGGUUAUGUCUCAGCAAGUAGAGUUUCUGCAACAUCAUGUGCUAACCUCUCCUUCGAGGGUUGUCUGUGUCUUCUGGGGUGUCGGUGCUUCUGGUGCCCACGUUUCAUGAUGCUGACACAAUUCAUUUUAUUUUCAGUAGGAGAACAGCAGUUACUCAGGACAGCCAUGCUAGCCUGGACUAAUCUGGAUAAAUUGUCCCACACCAGAAAUAAACAGGCUGUCAACCCCAAAUGUCAAGCAUGACACAAGGAAGUUGGAAGGACCCACCAAACUCAAGGAUUCUCCUAGCACAUAAACUGAGGAAGAACAAUACAUAGGACUCAAAGACUAGAUAUGUCCCUUCAGUAUGCUAUCUUUUGUAUUCAUGUUGGGGUGAAGACAGGGAAUUAGCAGCAAAGCACUGUACAGUCCCUUUUGGAGUACUGACCAAUAAUUUCAUAACAUGGACAGUUUUACUCAAAGUUAAUCAUGGGUUGUUGGCACGGAUCUCAUAUGAAUGGCUUGAUGCUGUCCUCCCAGUAAUGAAUGAGUUCUCACUCUUAAUUCAUUCAAGAGCUGGUUAUUUAAAAAGCCUGGCAUUUCUCUUGCUGCCUUCUUGUCAUGUGACACUCCAGCUUCCCGUUUGCCUUCUGCCCUGAGUAAAAGCUUCCGCACCAGAAGACAAGCAGAUGUUGGUGCCCUGCUUGUACAGCCUGCAGAACCGUGAGCCAAAUAAACCUCUUUUCUCUAUAAAUUACCCAGUCUCAGGUAUUCCUUUAUAGCAAUGCAAAAUGGUCUAAUACAUCUGUCUACACCACUUAGUUCAAUUUAUUAAUUAUAUUUUGGGAGCUGUUUAAUCAGAGUAUGUUGUCCUUUGCAUGUCAGCAAUUGAGUGAAGGUGAUAUUCAGUUGGUUUUGAUUCUUUGUAAGCAAAGACCUGGCAUAAGUCAC